rnacentral:rRNA from 1 species
UACGAGGGGGCGAGCGUUGUUCGGAAUUAUUGGGCGUAAAGAGCGUGUAGGCGGCCAUACAGGUCAGCUGUGAAAACUCGAGGCUCAACCUCGAGACGUCGGUUGAAACCGUAUGGCUAGAGUCGGAAGAGGAGAGUGGAAUUCCCGGUGUAGCGGUGAAAUGCGCAGAUAUCGGGAAGAACACCCGUGGCGAAGGCGGCUCUCUGGGACGGUACUGACGCUGAGACGCGAAAGCGUGGGGAGCGAACAGG